rnacentral:rRNA from 1 species
AACGAACGCUGGCGGCAGGCCUAACACAUGCAAGUCGAGCGAGGACUUCGGUUCUAGCGGCGGACGGGUGAGUAACGCGUGGGAAUGUGCCCUUCUCUACGGAAUAACCCUGGGAAACGGGGAGUAAUACCGGAUACGCCCUUUGGGGGAAAGAUUUAUCGGAGUAGGAUCAGCCCGCGUUGGAUUAGGUAGUUGGUGGGGUAAUGGCCUACCAAGGCGACGAUCCAUAGCUGGUUUGAGAGGAUGAUCAGCCACACUGGGACUGAGACACGGCCCAGACUCCUACGGGAGGCAGCAGUGGGGAAUCUUAGACAAUGGGCGAAAGCCUGAUCCAGCCAUGCCGCGUGAGUGAUGAAGGCCUUAGGGUUGUAAAGCUCUUUCAGCUGGGAAGAUAAUGACGGUACCAGCAGAAGAAGCCCCGGCUAACUCCGUG